GAGUUUGAUCUUGGCUCAGAUUGAACGCUGGCGGCAUGCCUUACACAUGCAAGUCGAACGGCAGCACGGGAGCUUGCUCCUGGUGGCGAGUGGCGAACGGGUGAGUAAUGCAUCGGAACGUAUCCUGGAGUGGGGGAUAACGUAGCGAAAGUUACGCUAAUACCGCAUAUUCUGUGAGCAGGAAAGCGGGGGACCUUCGGGCCUCGCGCUCUUGGAGCGGCCGAUGUCGGAUUAGCUAGUUGGUGAGGUAAAGGCUCACCAAGGCGACGAUCCGUAGCAGGUCUGAGAGGAUGAUCUGCCACACUGGAACUGAGACACGGUCCAGACUCCUACGGGAGGCAGCAGUGGGGAAUUUUGGACAAUGGGGGCAACCCGUCGAGUCCAGCCACUGCCGCGGUCGAGUGAAGAAGGCCGUUCGGUUCGGUUAA
rnacentral:rRNA from 1 species